GGAAGGCAGCCUAGGAAGAAGGGUGGCCAGCUUCAUUGUGAUGCAAAAGAAUGCAACAAUUAAGAAUAUAAUUUUGGAAGAUGUCAGCAGCCUAAUUACUCAUAGGGCUUCCAGCAAAUUAAGCAGUAGGUGAAUUAGCUCAUUUAAUGAGAUCUAGAGUUCUGAGUCAAGGUGCUUUUACUUUGCAUUUGAGGAAUGCAUUUCCCCAUUACAUGUUAAUAAUUUGGGCACCCCAACAUGCUAUUAGCUCAACAGGUUCUGCAGAGCAUGAGAUACGAGUUGGGCUUUGGGAAGACAAAGACAUUUGCACAAAGGCUCAAAUGUGCCAUGACCUGGGAGCUGUCAGCACGCUCAGAAAGGGUGUGAAGAACAUCAGGCCAUUCCUCAGACUCUACCAGGGCCUUUCCCAUCUAUCACUGUGUUUCAUCCUAAUAAGCCUUUGAGGUAGAAGACCAUGAGCUCUAAGCUGCUUCACCUUCUCUUUUAACACAAAAUGAGGUUCACAGAGGCAAGACACCACAAUCCUGAAUAUACUAUCAAUUCUGAAUGGUCUGUCCAUUUGUGACAGAACAGGCAGCUUCCUCCUUCUUGACUUGUGAAUGUGGUGUCCUCCAAGGCCACUGCCUGAGGUGAACCCCAAAGAUGUAUCCCAACCAUGGCUCUCCACAGAAAGUUUCCCACCUACCAGCAGCUUUACCCACCAUGGUUAUUAUUUAAGGUGCAAUACACUGUCAUCUAUCGAAUAUUUAUAGAACUAUCUACUGCUCAUAGUUCUUUCUCCAAAACCACACAGAACAACUCAACCCCUCUUAGAGGCUGCUCUUCAGAUGAUGAGAACUCCUGAUCCCUGCAGAGAUGCUCGCCCACCCCACAAACCUACCCAGCCAUGCAGACAUCUGGGUUCUGCUUUCUACCAUAAUUCACAGUUGUGUGAGUGUGUUGUUGCUUCCCCCUUUGACGUGAUGCAUCUCACUCAACCCACCAGUGUUAUGAGGGUAGAAGUGAUGCUAGAAUUAAAGUGGUGAGAAAGCUGGAGUUCAGAAAGCUCAAGUCUAUUGUCCAAGGGUAAAAAGGUCAGCCAAAUAGCAGAGCUGAUAACUCUAGGAUUCAAACUGGGGGCGCCUCCAAAGUUAAACUGUGCUCUCUCCACCAGGGUACGAAAGCUCUCUGAAUGAACAACCAUGCAUGGCAAUGUAAUAAGCACCUUAAGAGAGGCCCAAACAGAUGCUAAAAGGUGCUCAUUUCAGAGCUGCCUUCUUUCUCACUAGGCUUCAGCCAGGCUGCACUAAUUACCAUUUAUUUAAGAUGCCUGCCUGGCACUGCUGGGGCUCAGAGAGGAGUUCUAAUUUGCUGUUGAAGGAGUCGAGGGAGGGAAUGGAGAGGGCUGUGAAGUGUCCCCUCCCAGGCGGGAGUGAUUUCUGUUCAGAAAAACACUGAGGUUACUAAUGGGGAAGGGGAAAAGGAGCAGCAAAAAUGAGAAGUAUACUUGGGAUGCACUUGCAUGCCCGCAACAUCUGGUGGGCAGGAUUCAUUCCUCCUUCCCCUCCUGAGACUGCAAUUAAGGAGCUAAUGUGAGAAAGAAAUAGCAAUCCAUUGUCCCACUGAGGUGGGGCGAGGGAAGGACUUAGACACCCAGUCCACCCAGGAGAGGCUCCUCUGGUUUGAAGCUGGAAAUGUCCUAGAAGGGGCUUUGAACACCUGCAGAAGCGAUGCCAUUUCAGCUUUUCAGAUAGCAUGGUGUGAAAAUCAGAGCUUUGCCCACCUAGACUGAGCCUGCUGUGGAAGAGCAGCCCUG
ensembl:lncRNA